rnacentral:rRNA from 1 species
UUAGGUUAAGUUAGGAAGGGCGCAUGGCGGAUGCCUUGGCACUAGAAGCCGAUGAAGGACGGAACUAACACCGAUAUGCUACGGGGAGCUGUAAGUAAGCGUUGAUCCGUAGAUUUCCGAAUGGGGAAACCCACUAUUCUUAAUUGGAUAGUACAUGACUCGUGAAUACAUAGCGUGCAUGUGGCAGACCCGGAGAACUGAAACAUCUAAGUACCCGGAGGAAGAGAAAGAAA